rnacentral:piRNA from 1 species
UUGCUACAUAUGUGCAGGGUUGCAGCAGA